UACGUAGGUGGCAAGCGUUGUCCGGAUUUACUGGGCGUAAAGAGCGCGCAGGCGGUCGGAUAAGUCGAAUGUGAAAGCCCCCGGCUCAACUGGGGAGGGUCAUUCGAUACUGUUCGACUCGAGUGCCGGAGGGGAGAGUGGAAUUCCUGGUGUAGCGGUGAAAUGCGUAGAUAUCAGGAGGAAUACCGGUGGCGAAAGCGACUCUCUGGACGGCAACUGACGCUGAGGCACGAAAGCGUGGGGAGCAAACAGG
rnacentral:rRNA from 1 species